AUCUAGCUGACGAGUCCCAAAUAGGACGAAAUGAGCGUGAAACUGGAU
rnacentral:hammerhead_ribozyme from 1 species